rnacentral:pre_miRNA from 1 species
AAACCCUUGUCGGACCUUUGUGGAUGUUUGCUUUAUCGGUGAAGUUGUCGAAUGAAUGAAUAUUCUUCACCGGGUUAACAUCUACAGAGGUCCUAAAGGGUUC